UGCCGAAACCAGGAUUCGAACCAGAGACCUUUAGAUCUUCAGUCUAACGGUCUCCCAACUGAGCUAUUUCGGC
rnacentral:tRNA from 1 species